UACGUAGGGUGCGAGCGUUGUCCGGAAUUAUUGGGCGUAAAGGGCUCGUAGGCGGUUUGUCGCGUCGGGAGUGAAAUCCACUGGCUUAACUGGUGGCUUGCUUUCGAUACGGGCAGACUGGAGGUAUGCAGGGGAGAACGGAAUUCCUGGUGGUAGCGGUGAAAUGCGCAGAUAUCAGGAGGAACACCGGUGGCGAAGGCG
rnacentral:rRNA from 1 species